UUAGAUUUUUUACCCGGUGAUUUUAAAACUACAAUGAUUUUUGUUUACUCAUAAAUUUAUUUUGAUGUUUAAAAAUAGUGAUUUAGUUCAACUAAAAAUUUAGAAUAUUAUUUUAUACAAUAUUUAAUAAUUUGGUUAAAUUCUAAAAAUGUAAAUUUUUGCUCAGUAUGAUUUUUGUUGUCUAUCGUUAGGACAUUUUUGACAUUUUUUGAAUUAUGCUUAAUUAUGUAUUAUUUUGCUGCAAUAUAUUAGAAAUGAAUGUGGAUAUGUGAUUAAGAUUACUGUUAUAACUGUGAUUAUAAUGUGUGUGUAAAAGACAAGUAAAUACUGGUUGAUCCGUUGGUUGGAACUAAUUGACAUGUACAUGAUGAUCUUUAUACCCUUUUUUUAUUCUAUUCUUUUAAAAUAUUUCUUUGCCUUUAUAAUCUUUUGUACCUUUAAACUCCACAAACAUUUCUCUUUAUUUAUGUACAUAUUAUUGUAAACUUUCUAAAAUUUUAAUGAAAAUCUUAUUAAGACAUAAAAUCAUUUUAUUUUACAUAAAAUUUGGUUUAAUUUUAUUUUGUUCUAUUCAUCUCUCUUAAGAAUCUAUCUUGAAAGAUUUGUAAUUUUUCAUCUUUCAUGUUUCAUCAUCUAUCUCAGUUUAUUGUUUUCUUUUUAACUUAAUAUACAUCUACAACUAUUAAUCUGAAGUAUGUGAUUUAAUUAUCUUUUGGAAUCACCUCAUGUUCAUAGCUCAAAAUUUCCUUGAUGUUGGUAAAAAGGACUUCAAUGUAGCAAGCAAGAAUAUCAUAUUCAUAAAAUUAGCAAACUAUGACAGUUAGCUUGUUUUGCAUCUGAAGAAAAUACAAAUGAGAAGAUGAACUAUACCUCAGGGAUAAAAAAUUUUCCUGUUAGAAGACAGAAGGCAGGCAAAAUGCAGUAAGUAAUCAAGGGAAGAGCAGUCCAAGCAUGUAUAGUCAAACUUAUGUAGGAUAAUCGCUGCAGACACUUCAUACCACCUCCAUAGCUAUACCAAAUAGGACAAUGCUUGCUGAGAAAAAUCUCAACUGAUCCCUGCGCCUGCUGAAGAACUAGAUGAAGAUAAUCUGAAAGAUCUGUUGGAAUAGAACUCUUAAAUGCUGUUCUUCUUGGCAUGCAGUAAACAGAUCGCCAACCAUGGCAAUGCAUCUUGAAGACAGUGACCACAUCCUCGGCUGCUGAUCCAUAAAUCCAGCCCACCUGCACAAAAAAAAAAAGAAACCUUAAAGAGACGGGGGACUUGGAAAAUACAUCACCAGAGCAUUCAUGGCACCAGCCUUUUUAUGGUGAUUAAAUCCUGGUCUUUUUUCACGAGAUACAUAAACUAAACGUGGUAGCUUAUCUCCAUUUGCAUCCAAUGAAUCGCCAUGACCCAGAAAUACCUGCUCAAGCAUAUGCAUUACGAACAUAAAAAAAACAACUUUUGAAGGUAAGAUUCAAAUAUGGUAUUUAUUAAAGUUAUUUCAUGGGAGAAAGUCUAAUUUAUUACUACCCCUCCAAGAACAUGACAUUAAUGUUGUUAGUUUAGUGUGGAAUAUGAUUGUGUCGAUCAAUUGUGUUGUACUGCUGUUUUGGGCCUCAAUUCUAUCGGUUGAGCUCGCUGGGUCCUCCCCUUGUUUGAGUUUGGGUGCUUGGACCAAAGAAUUUUUUCCCUGUACAACCGUACAACACUAUGGCGUUGUGUACCUGAGUGUUGUGGCGAUGUAUAGUUUGCUUUUUAGACAGAUAGAGAGAUGAGCACUAUGGUGCUCCAAAUGUUGGCGCUGCGGCGUUAUCAGGCAAACUGGAGAAGGAGAGUUGAGCGCUGUAGCGCUCCAAACGUGGAGCCGUGGCUCUGGGAGACGGGCUGAUAGUUUUCUUUCUCGAUUUUAUUAAGGAUUGCAUCCCUUGGUGGUUUUUAUAUGUUUAUCUUUGUUUGUUUGUAAAAGAAUGGUACAGGGGUAAAGAGAAAUAUGGAGAGAUCUAUUCUAUUUCUCCUAAAUUUUCAUAGUGAA